UUUCCGUUGGUGAACCUGCGGAAGGAUCAUUAUUGUAUUACCAACUUCCAAGCCCUAUCUCUACCUCGCAUCAUCGUUCCCUCCCCAGUCCCCUCCCACCCCUCCAUCUCCCCCCUCUCUGCCCCACCCCGGGGGUCCUCCAUUCCCUUGUUCUGUUUGGUGCUUUCGUUUUCAUGCCAUCUUUCUAUACAGUUCAGAAUUUUUUUUUUCUUUUCUCUUUCACCCAACCUCUAUAACUUUCAACACCGGUCCUCUUAGCUCUCGCAUCGAUGCAAAUCC
rnacentral:misc_RNA from 1 species